rnacentral:rRNA from 1 species
CUGACCGAUAGUGAACCAGUACCGUGAGGGAAAGGCGAAAAGAACCCCGGCGAGGGGAGUGAAAAAGAACCUGAAACCGUGUACGUACAAGCAGUGGGAGCACGCUUAGGCGUGUGACUGCGUACCUUUUGUAUAAUGGGUCAGCGACUUAUAUUCUGUAGCAAGGUUAACCGAAUAGGGGAGCCGAAGGGAAACCGAGUCUUAACUGGGCGUUAAGUUGCAGGGUAUAGACCCGAAACCCGGUGAUCUAGCCAUGGGCAGGUUGAAGGUUGGGUAACACUAACUGGAGGACCGAACCGACUAAUGUUGAAAAAUUAGCGGAUGACUUGUGGCUGGGGGUGAAAGGCCAAUCAAACCGGGAGAUAGCUGGUUCUCCCCGAAAGCUAUUUAGGUAGCGCCUCGUGAAUUCAUCUCCGGGGGUAGAGCACUGUUUCGGCAAGGGGGUCAUCCCGACUUACCAACCCGAUGCAAACUGCGAAUACCGGAGAAUGUUAUCACGGGAGACACACGGCGGGUGCUAACGUCCGUCGUGAAGAGGGAAACAACCCAGACCGCCAGCUAAGGUCCCAAAGUCAUGGUUAAGUGGGAAACGAUGUGGGAAGGCCCAGACAGCCAGGAUGUUGGCUUAGAAGCAGCCAUCAUUUAAAGAAAGCGUAAUAGCUCACUGGUCGAGUCGGCCUGCGCGGAAGAUGUAACGGGGCUAAACCAUGCACCGAAGCUGCGGCAGCGACGCUGAUGCGUUGUUGGGUAGGGGAGCGUUCUGUAAGCCUGUGAAGGUGUGCUGUGAGGCAUGCUGGAGGUAUCAGAAGUGCGAAUGCUGACAUAAGUAACGAUAAAGCGGGUGAAAAGCCCGCUCGCCGGAAGACCAAGGGUUCCUGUCCAACGUUAAUCGGGGCAGGGUGAGUCGACCCCUAAGGCGAGGCCGAAAGGCGUAGUCGAUGGGAAACAGGUUAAUAUUCCUGUACUUGGUGUUACUGCGAAGGGGGGACGGAGAAGGCUAUGUUGGCCGGGCGACGGUUGUCCCGGUUUAAGCGUGUAGGCUGGUUUUCCAGGCAAAUCCGGAAAAUCAAGGCUGAGGCGUGAUGACGAGGCACUACGGUGCUGAAGCAACAAAUGCCCUGCUUCCAGGAAAAGCCUCUAAGCAUCAGGUAACAUCAAAUCGUACCCCAAACCGACACAGGUGGUCAGGUAGAGAAUACCAAGGCGCUUGAGAGAACUCGGGUGAAGGAACUAGGCAAAAUGGUGCCGUAACUUCGGGAGAAGGCACGCUGAUAUGUAGGUGAAGUCCCUCGCGGAUGGAGCUGAAAUCAGUCGAAGAUACCAGCUGGCUGCAACUGUUUAUUAAAAACACAGCACUGUGCAAACACGAAAGUGGACGUAUACGGUGUGACGCCUGCCCGGUGCCGGAAGGUUAAUUGAUGGGGUCAGCGCAAGCGAAGCUCUUGAUCGAAGCCCCGGUAAACGGCGGCCGUAACUAUAACGGUCCUAAGGUAGCGAAAUUCCUUGUCGGGUAAGUUCCGACCUGCACGAAUGGCGUAAUGAUGGCCAGGCUGUCUCCACCCGAGACUCAGUGAAAUUGAACUCGCUGUGAAGAUGCAGUGUACCCGCGGCAAGACGGAAAGACCCCGUGAACCUUUACUAUAGCUUGACACUGAACAUUGAGCCUUGAUGUGUAGGAUAGGUGGGAGGCUUUGAAGUGUGGACGCCAGUCUGCAUGGAGCCGGCCUUGAAAUACCACCCUUUAAUGUUUGAUGUUCUAACGUUGACCCGU